GAGAGAGAGAGAGAGAGAGAGAAGGGGGGGGGGUGAGUGAGCGAGAAUAUGGAUGAUGGAGGGAAUGUGGGAGAGAAAGUGCGAGAGUGUGGCCAGGCCGCGUCGCCCUCCCCCUACACUGAUCUUAUUUGAUCGGCCGGUGAGCCCGGGCCCCAGGCCGAAGUGAUGAGAAGUCCGCGCGCGAGCCGCUGGCUGUGAGCGAUGCGGCGGCGAAGCCCCGGGACCAGCGGAAGUGAUGAACCGAUCAGAUAGACGAGGCUCUGGCUCUUGCCCGGCCGCUGAGUUAAGAGGCGAUUCUGAUCCGC